GGGGUACAAGGAAGAACAGACCUAUGUGCAUUUUGUAGGAAGAAAAAUGUGAAUGGAAAAGGGAGAAAAGGAGAGAAACGGGGGGAAAAUCUGGAUAAUACAUUAAAGUAACCAUAAUUUUGGAGAUGCAUUCGUCUUAUUGAAACUCUGUGUGUAACCAGUGAUACCGGAGUCGGAUAUUUGCUCAAUCAGGAUGCUCAACAAUUUGAGCCUUUACUUUAAAGUUUGGAGCUGCAUAGAUUUCCUCGGGGCAGUGAUUCUUUUUCACCCCUUUGAAUUCAGAAGGAUGGCACAGACAUCUAAAAAACACUUUUUGCCAUAAGAGAUGCUGAAGGCUCAUCUUAAGCACUUCCUGCUCCACUUUGGAAUCAGCCAUUUUUCCAGCAAAGAUGGCCCACGGGCAGCUCAAGCCAAAGUCAUCUUUACAGAUCAAGAUCAUCCAAGAAGAAAGACCCCCUGGUUCCCUCCCAGUAUCCAUAACUACCCACCCAAAAGGAAUCUGAUUGGCUUGUUUGGAUCACAUGUUCUCCUUUGAACCAA
rnacentral:lncRNA from 1 species